rnacentral:rRNA from 1 species
UACGAAGGGGGCUAGCGUUGCUCGGAAUGACUGGGCGUAAAGGGCGCGUAGGCGGACGGCUUUGUCGGGCGUGAAAUUCCAGGGCUUAACCUUGGGGCUGCGUUCGAGACGGGUUGUCUAGAGUUUGGAAGAGGGUCGUGGAAUUCCCAGUGUAGAGGUGAAAUUCGUAGAUAUUGGGAAGAACACCGGUGGCGAAGGCGGCGACCUGGUCCUUGACUGACGCUGAGGCGCGAAAGCCAGGGGAGCAAACGGG